rnacentral:lncRNA from 10 species
AGGUAAGGGGCUGGCUCUCAGCACCAGGACCUGGCACAGCAUCUGACCCAGAGGACAGCUCAGUUCAUGAUUGCCAGAUGGCUGCACGCAGCGCGGAGGAGAGCCCCCUGGGUCUGAAAUAGAGGCUGGAGAGGAGGACUGUGAGUCCAGAGGAGGGAGAGUGAUGGUAUCCCACACACAAGCCAGCGUGUCUAGGACUCCUAUCUGAAGACACUGCAGAGGUGAGUCCUGAGUGACAGAGACUAAGCCAUAGAAAGACAGAGAGAAAAACAGACAAAAUGAGACCGAGUCAGAGGCAGAAAGCCAGAGAGGCAAAGAGGCAAAGGCAUAGAAAGAGAGGGGGACAGAGAGAAAGAGAAAAGGACAGGGGAGAGAGAGGGGUGCGGGAAGCAGACAGGACAGAGAGAGAGGAGCAACAGACAGACAGAGAAGAAAGAAAGACCAAGAUAAAGGCAGACAGAGAGAAUGAGAGAGAUGAGACAGAGACACGCAGAAACUAACAAGGGGGUCAGAGAAUGAAAGAGAGACAGAAGGACACAGGAGCUCCCAAAGGCCAAAUCCAGGAAGAUCAGAGCAUCAAAAUACAUGAUGAUAGGAAUGGCUUAAAUGCGUCUUUGCUGACGAUCAGAAAUGCAGUCAUCGCCACAUAAUGACAGUGGUCCCAUAAACUUAUGAUACUGUAUUUUUAGUGUCCCUUUUCUACAUUUAGAUAUGUUUAGAUAUACAAAUACUUACCACCUGUUACAGUUCCCAGCCUACAGCGUUCAGUACAGUGACAUGCUGUGCGGGAUUUUAGCCCG